UUUUUGCGUUAGGGAUUGCAGCGGAAAUCCUUUUUUACUCAAUUAUCAAGCUUUUUUCUAGUUUGAAGUUUAUUUCUAAAGAGAGAUUUUUCUUACUAAAAUAGGAAUUGUUUAAGUAAAAAAGAUUGAAACGGAAAGCCCGACCUAAA
rnacentral:sRNA from 1 species